rnacentral:rRNA from 1 species
GAUGAACGCUAGCGGCAGGCUUAAUACAUGCAAGUCGAGGGGUAGCAAGAUUGUAGCAAUACAAUUGUUGACGACCGGCAAACGGGUGCGGAACACGUACACAACCUUCCUACAAGUGGGGAAUAGCCCAGAGAAAUUUGGAUUAAUACCCCGUAACAUAGCGAUGUGGCAUCACAUUGCUAUUAUAGCUUCGGCGCUUGUUGGUGGGUGCGCGGCUGAUUAGAUAGUUGGCGGGGUAACGGCCCACCAAGUCUACGAUCAGUAGCUGAUGUGAGAGCAUGAUCAGCCACACGGGCACUGAGACACGGGCCCGACUCCUACGGGAGGCAGCAGUAAGGAAUAUUGGACAAUGGACGCAAGUCUGAUCCAGCCAUGCCGCGUGAAGGAUUAAGGUCCUCUGGAUUGUAAACUUCUUUUAUAAGGGACGAAAAAAGGUCUUUCUAGAUCGUCUGACGGUACCUUAUGAAUAAGCACCGGCUAACUCCGUGCCAGCCGCCGCGGUAACAC